AUAUCAAUAAGCGCGGGAAAAGAAACCAACAGGGAUUACCUCAGUAACGGCGAGUGAAGCGGUAAUAGCUCAAAUUUGAAAUCUGGCCUCUCGGGGUCCGAGUUGUAAUUUGUAGAGGAUGUUUUGGGUACCGCCCCGGUUUAAAUUUCUUGGAACAGAAUGUCAAAGAGGGUGAGAAUCCCGUCUUGGAUCGGCGUAGGGCCUGUGUAAAACUCCUUCGACGAGUCGAGUUGUUUGGGAAUGCAGCUCAAAAUGGGUGGUAAAUUUCAUCUAAAGCUAAAUAUUGGCCAGAGACCGAUAGCGCACAAGUAGAGUGAUCGAAAGAUGAAAAGCACUUUGAAAAGAGAGUUAAACAGUAUGUGAAAUUGUUGAAAGGGAAGCGCUUGCAACCAGACUUGAGCGCGGCGGUUCCCCCUGCCUUUUGGCUGGGCUACUCCGUCGUGUCCAGGCCUACAUCGGUUCUGAGGGUCGGUUAAAGACCCCGGGAAUGUACCUACCCACGGGUAGACUUAUAGAUCGGGGUGUCAUGCGACCUCUCGGGACCGAGGAACGCGCUUCGGCUCGGAUGUAGGCGUAAUGGUUGUCAGCGA
rnacentral:rRNA from 1 species